rnacentral:misc_RNA from 1 species
GAUGAAGAACGUAGCGAAAUGCGAUAAGUAAUGUGAAUUGCAGAAUUCAUUGAAUCAUCGAAUCUUUGAACGCACAUUGCGCCCCCUGGUAUUCCGGGGGGCAUGCCUGUUCGAGCGUCAUUUCACCACUCAAGCCUCGCUUGGUAUUGGGCAACGCGGUCCGCCGCGUGCCUCAAAUCGACCGGCUGGGUCUUCUGUCCCCUAAGCGUUGUGGAAACUAUUCGCUAAAGGGUGUUCGGGAGGCUACGCCGUAAAACAACCCCAUUUCUAAGGUUGACCUCGGAUCAGGUAGGGAUACCCGCUGAACUUAAGCAUAUCAAUAAGCGGAGGA